rnacentral:misc_RNA from 1 species
GUGAAUCAUCAAAUUUUUGAACGCAACUUGCACUUUCUGGUAUUCUGGAAAGUAUGCCUGUUUGAGGUGCAGUUAAAUAAAAAUCGGGGUUGUUGCUGCCUUUCGUGGUGAAGCGUCGGAAUUGAGUUGUCUUACCUUCGGUUAAGCGACUUAAAAUUUUGCAUGAUUUUCGAACGUAUUUAUAUUGCUUACGAACGGUAGAGAUAUCGAAUGCUUGUUAGGUUCGGUCAUUCCCAUGAUUCGCGCCUAUAAUUUUUCAUUAAAUGACCUCAAAUCAGGUAAGAAUACCCGCUGAACGUAA